rnacentral:rRNA from 1 species
GUGGAUUAGAUACCCGGGUAGUCCACGCUGUAAACGAUGGUCACUAGAUGUCGGGAGAACUUACCCUUCCGGUGUCGUAGCUAACGCGUUAAGUGACCCGCCUGAGUAUUACGGCCGCAAGGUUAAAACUCAAAGAAAUUGACGGGGGCCCGCACAAGCAGUGGAGUAUGUGGUUUAAUUCGAGGCUACGCGAAGAACCUCACCUGGGUUUGACAUCCGAGGCUAUCCUAUGAAAGUAGGAGUUCCCGCAAGGGACCUCGAGACAGGUGCUGCACGGCUGUCGACAGCU